GUGUGGUGCGUGUGCAGCCUCCGGAGGCAUCUGCUCCUGGGUCCCUGAUUCUGAGUGUGAUCCGCUGCCUUCCUGCGUGUUUCCCUAUGACUGCCUGAGCGAACAUUCUAGGAGGCUCUGCAAUGUGGCUUUAGACUGCUGUGCUUGUGGGUCAUACGGCAGCAUCUUCACGAAACAUGGAUGCAAAAUAAGCACUGUCUUAUGAUCCAUUUCAGUCCUCUAAAACUACAACAGAAGAGACAAAAGGAGUAAGAUGACCCUCCAAAGAAGUUAUCCCAAUAUGAAAUGUCUCUCCAUGGAGAUUUGCUGAAAAUCAAUAUAAACUCAGCGUACUGGACAUGAACUUGGACAGGCUAUUAAAAAGCCAAUUCUGUCAUUAAAUGAAAGUUGAACGACAAGAAGAUAAAGAUACAGUUGGGAAGUUCUCAUUUGUGGUGUGAGAUUCCAGGGCAAAGAGGUCCAAACUGCAAAAAGUGAACUGGGGAGCAGGCUUUCUGGGUGAUGACAUGGUCAGGGAUGUGUCUCAUGUGGCCCUUUUUGGAGUGGCAAAAGCAGGGUUUCUGGUUCCACAUGUUUGAAUUCAUGCAGAAGGGUCAUUUCCACCGUAUGGAAAAGGAAAGAGUCAUUCCCAGGAAAGGAAGGAUUAUGAGUAAAUCGCUACCCUUUGUUCAGACUUCCAUGGUAAACAUGGCUGUCCUUGUUCAGGCUGGUGGCCCAUAUAUGAAUCCCUCUGUGACACAGCACAGACAACAUAUAUCUUCAGACCAGCGUCUCACUAGACAGUAAGCUCCCAUGAGUGAGGCCCUUGUUUGUCUUUGCGCCAUACACCCUAGCCUGGCUCAUAGGCUCAGGGAGGCAAACUGAGGCAAGUCAAAUGAUAAAUGAUCUGGAGCUUCUGAGAUUAAAAUCCCAAUGUUCUCCAAAUUCUAAAGGAUCUUUUCUAAUUAAAUACAGUUAACCAAGACAAGUCAAACAAGUGUGGGGAUUUUCUGACCACUGUUUUAUCUGGGCCUUUAACUUUGUCUUUUUUCCUACCUCCUUGAUAACUUUGAUCAGUUUUGCUGGUCUUAGAAUUUUCUUGGAAGAUAGAAGUAAAAAGAUGGCAAAGUUUAAGACCAAUCCAUUUUAAAUCAUAGUUGUUCAUUGGGAAGAGAGAAAAACAACCAGAGUGAGCUUUAAUGAAACGUAAGACUAUUAAAGGUCAUCAUUUAAUUAUUCCUCCCCUGCAGAGGGUCUGUGUAGAAAAGAACUAUUUUUCCUGACAGAGUUAUAAAGAAGUGGAUCUUUCUCUUGGCAACCCUUGGGCACCCUAAGAGAGGGGACAGCAUCUGAAUCCUUGAUAUGUCUCUGGUGCCUGUCUUAUGGUCUAACACCUGGCAGGUAAUUAACAAGUGCUUUAUGAAAGAAUACAUGAAUGAAAUCACUGAUUGACAGACUGACCUUGAUUUCUCAAUCCUUGGUUAAUUAUUUAAAAUAUAUUUGGAUCUCAGGCACACAGAAGUGUCUUGCCUACUUGUCAUAAAUGUGUCCAUGGCCCUCUCUUAUUUAACUCCAUCUUCUUGUUUUCUCCUUCAUCCUUCAUCUCUCUAUUUCCAGUUGCAUGUACCCAUCUGUCAACCACUUUAUCUAGAAUAACCACAUUAGUUAGGGUAUUUCUAUCUGUUGUAACAAAUAAAUCUAAAAUCUCAGUGACUUGACUAAAUAGAAUUGUAUAUCUUGCUCACGUGUUUAUGUAUGUGUGUGUUGGAGGAACUAUCUCGUUGUCUCUGUCUCUCUCUGGGUACAUACGUACAUAUAGACAGAGAGAUAGAGACAGACAGAAAGAGAAAGACGGAAUUAUAAAGAUACAUAGAGAAGAUGCACGAAUGAGAGAGAGUGAAAGGAAAAUACGCACUGAAAGGUGAACCCUGGUUACUUCCGGAUGCUAGGAUUAUAGUUUUUUGAUUUUUUAAAAAGAGACACUAGCACAGAAAUGUAAUACAGAAGAAGCUAUGAGGACUUGGUGAGAAGAAAGGCCACUCUGGGAUCCAGAGAGCAAUGGGAAGUGAUUCUAGUCAAGAAAGAAAAAGCAAUGGAAAGAAAGAGAAGUGAGUAGUGACUGUGACAAAAAUCGGUGAAUUUCCUUCCCCUCUGAAAACUCUGGUGAAUGUUCUGAUGGCGUGUGUCUCUGGCUGAAAGUUGCCUAAAUGGAUGAUACAUUCUGUGAUUUCACAGGAAAUGGAAGUCAAGUGACUGGAGCUCCAGCAGCCACUGAAGGGCAAGUGAUGGUGGAGAGCCCAGAUGACAGGUCAACUGAGGUGGAGCCACUUGUGCCUCUCAGGGCAAACAGCGGCAUCCCAAGGGGUCAUCCAGUGUCAGAUUCCUUUGUCUUCAAACUUACCUUUCCCUCUCCCCACACUCCAUUGCUGCUUUCACCAAUAAAGGUUUAUAUGCCUCACCACCUAGGGGAGCUUGCUCUGAUCACUGUAAUGCAGAAAGCCCAGGAGAAUGGUUUCAGCUCCCAUAGGCUGAAAUCCUGAAUUUGACUAUAGAAAUGGUGUUCCAAAAUGUGACUUGGUUUUAUAACAUGUCCACCAUGGCUUUAUAGAAAGUCUACUAUCUAGAACAUUAAAUUACAAACUUAUUUCUCUCUUAGAAACAAAGGGUUUAAUCUAAAUAUUAGAACAUAAGUUAUCCUUAAGUGUAUUCUUGCUACCCUAAAGAAAACACUAUGCAAAUUAAAAAGACAAUAAGAAAAGAGAAAAUGUAAGCAAGGAAUAAACAUUUGAAAAAAAUUUAACUUCACUAAUAAACAGAGAAACAUAAAUUAAAAAUAAAACGUUGUGUAUUAAAAAAAUUAGAAUUAAUUCUAUUUUCCAUGAAACAAAAUCAGGGCUCCUUGGAUAAAUGGCCGGUCUCAGAAUGAGGGCAGGGUAACUGUGAGAGGAACUCUGGAAUGGUUUUUGGUGGGGAGGCCAGAAUAUAAGGAAAGGUUUAAAAAAAUGAGGGGGACGUAGCCAAAGAAUUUAUGAGCAGACUUUCAAGGGUUCCCUUUAGCCAAAUCAGGGACAAUUUCAGUAUCAGAAUGAAUAAUAGCUGUAGUGGAUUAUAACACACUGAAUAUAAAAAGGAUCCACGUAUCAAAGCUUUUUGUUACAGUAAAAUAGCAAAUAAUAAAUGCAGAAGGAAUUCUAGAAUUAGAGAAAAUCACUGUGUUGCAACAAUCAUAGUAAUGAUUGUUUCAGACACGCAACAAAAUGGAUGCUAAAACCCAUGGGCGAGAGGUUUGUUGAAAGACAGGAUAUUUACACAGUCUCAAGUGUCUUCCUAUAGAAUAUGUAUUAAUUACAAAAAGGAAAAGCUACCUUUAGAGCAGAGAAACAUGGCAGAAUCACUGUAACCAUGUG
ensembl:lncRNA